AGUUUUGCGUAUUUGUAGUAUCAUAGCCUAUGAAUGUCUACUGAGGCGUGACUAUUGUUAUUUGAAAACUUUACCCAAUACCCUAAGUCUGUUUUCUGACAGACUUGACAAUUUUUUACUGUCUCUAUGCAGA